GCCCCGCCUCCCUCCUCCGCUCCUUCUCCUCCCAGGGGAGGCUGAGGAGGUCCAAGAACGGCCGCUCGUCGCGGCUGGUGGUGCGCGCGGACGCCAAGGAAAUCGCCUUCGACCAGAAGUCCCGCGCCGCACUCCAGGCCGGCGUCGAGAAGGUCGCCAACGCCGUCGGCGUCACCCUCGGCCCGCGAGGGAGGAACGUAGUGCUGGAUGAGUAUGGCAACCCCGAAGAU